CUACCAUAUCGUCUGGCGAUAUUUACAACGGACUGCGGAUUUUCCGGGUUCGGUUCUCGUUACCGUUCCUCGUACUUCUCCGAAAAUACCUCGGACUCUGCUCUUCAAUCGAUUUCGUCCGUUAUCUCGGAAACCUCAAGCGACAUCGAUCGAUCUGAACCGAGAGAGAUCUCGCGGGCGUCUUUCCAGCGUUCGUCACUAGCGUUCGUCGUCUGAGUUUGGAGUUGGAGAGAAGAUGCUGCCGGAGCUACACUUCGAGUCUUCGUACCUGCCUAGGGUUCGGAGGAGGCCCAUGAAACAGCCGGUUAAGGUUCGGAUCAUGCUGCCGAUGAGCAUCCGGUGCAACACCUGCGGGAGUCACAUCUGCCAGGGCACAAAGUUCAAGUCCAGGAAGGAGGAAGUCGUCGGCGAGACGUACUUGGGGAACCAGAGAUUCAGGUUUUACUUCACAUGCACCAACUGCUCUGCCGUGCUCGCGAUCAAAACCCAGCCGCAGCAUCCGGAUUGCGAGGUGGAGUCCGGAGCGACGAGGGUGGUGGAGAAUGGGCAAAGGAAGAGGGAGGCUGAAGAGAUGGGCGAUGUCAUGAAGUCUAGGACGUAUGAUUUAAAUAGAGAGAUCGAUAGUCUCCCGCCUCUUGAUGAUAUGAAUUCCAUGAAGUAGAGAAAAUUUCUGAGGAAUUGUCGGACAAGCCAACAGAUUUCUUGACAAAAGCUAGUACCUGUGACAUCUCGAAUAACAGAGGCUGUGGUGAUCUUUCCAGCAGCAACACAUGGGGUUUGGAUCUCAUCGAGUAAGGGAAGACGAUGGGAGGAGAGAUGGACGGGAAAGAAGACGGAGGUAUGAUAGUGACCUGAAGCAGAACGAGAAAGAGGGAAAGGGAAGAGACGGCGAGAAACAGGGAAUGGAUGGCAGAAAGGCUGAUAGUUGGAGACCAGAACAAGCAUCAUCGCAGCAAGGCCAUAUGAAUAGUGACGAGGACGAGGAUGAACAGAUGAAAAUUAAAGAUGAGACAGAGACGAGUCUUGUUUAUCUCCGGAGAACGAUAUAUCUAACGAUUAUGUCCAGUGUCGAUUUCGAGGAAGCAGGGCAAAAACUAUUAAAAAGUAAACUGGAAGCUGGACAAGAGAUGGAAUUAUGUAUAAUGAUUUUGGAGUGCUGCAGUCAAGAGAGAACUUACCUCCGCUACUAUGGUCUGCUGCACAGCGGUUUUGCACGAUCAACAAAGUCUAUCAAGAGAACUUGGAGAAGUGCUUUGUUCAGCAAUACUCAAUGACUCACCGUCUGGAAACAAACAAGCUAAGAAAUGUGGCAAAUUUUUGUACGCACUUACUUGGCACCGAUGCUCUAUCCUGGCACGUCUUGGCGUACAUACGUUUGACUGAGGAGGACACCACUUCAUCAUCACGAAUAUUCAUCAAAAUUCUCUUUCAGGAACUGUCAGAGCAUCUGGGGAUUCGUUUGCUGAAUGAACGCCUGAAUGAUCCAUUGAUGCGGGACUCUUUUGAAUCAAUUUUCCCUAAAGACAAUCCAAAGAACACAAGGUUCUCCAUCAACUUCUUCACAUCCAUUGGACUUGGUGGCAUAACUGAGAACUUGCGUGAGUAUUUGAAGAACAUG